GUUAAAUUCACAGACCAUUUUUGUUUCACUACUGUAAACAUCCAACACAUAAGACUUGACAAAGGCCAUAGUUGGUGGCUGGAAUGUUGUCAUGGUGGCUUGCUUCCAUUAAAAUUUGACCUUUGAUACGUCUUGUGUGUUUUGGCCCUAUUUGACACUUUCUGGAGGAGUCUCAUAUUAUAAGCUGCAAAGGCUGGAUAUAAUAGCUCUGAAAAGAGUUCAUUAAGUCCACAAGGGUUAAAAUUUCUACUUUUCCCUAGCAACUGCCAGGUGAAGAUUUAACCAUCGAGUAGGAAUUUACCCAUGGUGAGUGUGCCAUG